GUAAAAUCAACAAGGAAGGCGAUGAGCACAGCAGUGUGAAGCCAAGAAGCCUUAAUUAACAUUUGUUAAGAACUAGAAGAUGCAUCCCACUCUUUACUUUUUAUUCCUAAUUCUCAUCCAUAACUGAAAAGGUUAACAUUUCAAAUGGGAUUACAGAAUAGUGAUGUCACUUUCCUAUAUUCAUAUACCAAGUCAAUGUUUAAAAAUAGCUUAUGUUCAGGAGAAUGGCGUGAACCCGGGAGGUGGAGCUUGCAGUGAGCUGAGAUCGCACCACUGCACUCC
rnacentral:lncRNA from 10 species